rnacentral:rRNA from 1 species
UUGCUCCACGGGGGCAGCAGUGAGGAAUAUUGGUCAAUGGGCGCGAGCCUGAACCAGCCAAGUCGCGUGAGGGAAGACGGUCCUAUGGAUUGUAAACCUCUUUUGUCGGGGAGCAAAAGACGCCACGCGUGGCGUUCCGAGAGUACCCGAAGAAAAAGCAUCGGCUAACUCCGUGCCAGCAGCCGCGGUGAUACGGAGGAUGCGAGCGUUAUCCGGAUUUAUUGGGUUUAAAGGGUGCGCAGGCGGAAGAUCAAGUCAGCGGUAAAAUUGAGGGGCUCAACCUCUUCGAGCCGUUGAAACUGGAU